GACGAACGCUGGCGGCGUGCCUAAUACAUGCAAGUAGAACGCUGAAGAGAGGAGCUUGCUCUUCUUGGAUGAGUUGCGAACGGGUGAGUAACGCGUAGGUAACCUGCCUGGUAGCGGGGGAUAACUAUUGGAAACGAUAGCUAAUACCGCAUAAAAUGGAUUAUCGCGUGAUAAUCCAUUGAAAGGUGCAAAUGCAUCACUACCAGAUGGACCUGCGUUGUAUUAGCUAGUUGGUGGGGUAACGGCUCACCAAGGCGACGAUACAUAGCCGACCUGAGAGGGUGAUCGGCCACACUGGGACUGAGACACGGCCCAGACUCCUACGGGAGGCAGCAGUAGGGAAUCUUCGGCAAUGGACGGAAGUCUGACCGAGCAACGCCGCGUGAGUGAAGAAGGUUUUCGGAUCGUAAAGCUCUGUUGUAAGAGAAGAACGAGUGUGAGAGGGAAAGUUCAC
rnacentral:rRNA from 1 species